UACCAGUGUCUCAUUUACUCACACCCACUGUCAUGUACAAAGCUAAUUUAUUAUGGACAAAAUAAAUGUACACUCUUUAAAAAUAUUACAGUAUAAAUUUAAGAGACUAACAAAGUGCAAAAUUUUCAACUAUUUUUGAUCAUACUAUACAGAAACAAAUCAAACAUUAACUCAUAUACAUUCAUUAUCAAUCUGUAUGCUAAUAAUUUCUUCCACUAUACCUUACGGAAAUUCCUAAGGAUAACAUCUACAUUCUGAUCUGUCAAAGUACACCUUCCCAGUGAUAUUAUCUAGUGAUUUUUACUGUUAUGAUCUACAGUUUAUAUAUGAGGAGUAUAUCACUCAGAUAAUAGUUCCAUUGUAUUUGCUUGUUUUAAUACAAAGGUUUUUUCUUCAAGAAUAUUCCUAGUAUUUUCAUACCACAUUUAUGGUUUAUAUUUUUUAGAAAAACCCCCAAUUAUCAGGCAUGAUUUUCCAUUUAACAUCUAGUGUUAGUUUGGGUCAGAUCUCUAUGAAACUGAGCAAAGCUUCGUAUUCAUGGUAUAAAGAAAUCCCACCAAAAGGCAGCAGUCAAACACCAUAUAAUUAGGGUUUUUUUUUUCUUAGAUUAUCAAAGGUUUUACAAUUCUUAAGUAAAAAAAAUCCAUAAAUCCAAUAUUAAGUGACUUCAAAACGAGGAAAGCAUGCAUAAAUUGCCAAAAGAAGACCUUAUCAAGUCUUGAUUUAGAGUCAGUCAGUUAGUGUCUGCCUCUUGGGUUUUCUUGUCUCUCUUCCCUCUACUCAUCUCUCUCACCCAUGUGAGGGAGCAAACCUAGAAUCUAGACAAUAAAGACAAGUAUUCUACUGUAGAAUGAUACCCCUAUUCCUAAAUCACUAAUUUUCAAAUUAAGAAAAAGCACUCAUGUUGGUUCUGACUUGAACUCUCCGUAACAAUUUCAGGGUGGACAGAGCCUUGACUGACUGCAUCUUGGUUGUAGUGCCUGAAGGGUGGGGAGGGAAAGGAACAGAAGCCAUGCUUCAUAUAGCAUAACCAUCUCUACUGGCUUGGGAUACUUCCUUCUCAAAAGGGAAGUCUUUACAUUUACACAAAUUCUUUUUUUUUGUGCCAGCUGAUUGUAAUGUGAUAUAUCUAAAACACAGCUAUUUCCUCCUACAUCAGAUAACUGAACUAAGUAGACAGUGAUUUUUGCAGUGUUCUACUAAUUCUGACUCACAACAUAACAAAAUAUUGGAAAAUUUCCCUAAACAUAAUUUUUUAUUUCUAAAUUUUUAAAAACACUUUUUUUUGAAUUAUGGAGAAAAGGCCACUAGAUAUUGUGGUCAACUUGAGAGAGAAAAUGGAAAAUCAAAAGUUUUUUAAGAUUCAACUGAAAAGACACUAGGUAUAAGGAAAUCUAUGGCUACCAGAAUUUUUAAAAAAAGUAUAAUUUUUAAAGGCUACUAUAGUAAAGUCAUUUUUUGUUGCCCAUAGAUCAUUAAGAAAGCCAUGUAAUAGUUCUUUUCUGAAAAUAAAGUCAACUAUAAAUUUCUAUACAACUUCAGAGAUUGACAGAUUUUCCCAAAGCCUGUGGAAUCUAAUUAUCAAUAUUGCUAGUUGUAAAACUUCUCUAAUCUAACUCAAAGUCAAUUUUACAAAAACAAAAUCAUUUUGAAUUCCAAAUUAAUCAAUCAGCUUUUUACUUAAAAAUUUAAAUAUAAUAUUUAAUAAACUAUAGUAAAAUUAGCUAUCAUCCUAACAAUUGUGUAAGUUGUGUGUGUAUAUGUGUAUGUGUGUACAUACAUACACACACAUAUAAAUAAAAGCAAGAAAAAGGAUUUUGCACAAUACUACCUUAUCUAAAUGACUUUAAAUUAUGCCAUAUUAUUUCUAUCAACUAUGACCUUUUUAGGGCAUUACUUUUAACUCAUAAUCAUCAGGGUAAAAAUACUUAAAUACAAAGAGAGUACAUACAGUGUUUGUUUAACAAAGACAAACGCACAAAAAUUUGAUUUCAUAGAUGUAAAUUGUGCUGCAAAUGCUACUCACAGGACAGGCUGGCCAAAGCUACAAUUAGCAUUUUUUUUUUUUUUGCUUAAGUAUACUAUUAAUGAAGUACAUUUGUAAAAGUUAUCUCUAGUUUUUCUUUUUCCUAUUCAACUUUUGUGGCAAUUCAAUACAUUUUAUUUGUAAUAUAUUAAGUAUUAGGGGUAGGGAAAUGAACCACUGUACUAUUCCAAUGUUUAUAUUUAAUCUAAUUGUGCAGAAUUGAAACUUCUGAAAAUUCAAUGGUAAACAAAUGUCUAAAGGUUUAUUUCCUUAACCAGGAGCUUCAUGAGUAAACUGAUGUUUUUAAUGUAAUGGUCAGUAAACACAAAAAUGAUUAUCUAAAGAACACAUGAAAAGCCACAUCUCGGGGCUGGGGAUUUAGCUCAGUGGUAGAGCGCUUACCUAGGAAGCGCAAGGCCCUGGGUUCGGUCCCCAGCUCCGGAAAAAAAAGAACCAAAAAAAAAAAAAAAAAAA
ensembl:lncRNA